UACGUAGGGUGCAAGCGUUGUCCGGAAUUAUUGGGCGUAAAGAGCUCGUAGGCGGUCUGUCGCGUCGGCUGUGAAAACUCGGGGCUCAACUCCGAGCUUGCAUUCGAUACGGGCAGGCUAGAGUUCGGUAGGGGAGACUGGAAUUCCUGGUGUAGCGGUGGAAUGCGCAGAUAUCAGGAGGAACACCGAUGGCGAAGGCAGGUCUCUGGGCCAUUACUGACGCUGAGAAGCGAAAGCAUGGGGAGCGAACAGG
rnacentral:rRNA from 1 species